GUCUUCUGUAGGUUACAAAUUCACACACACACACACACACACACACACACACACACACACACACACGUAGAGUAAACUGUAUUUAGAAUUUUUGAUACAUAGUGGGAGUUGUCCAGUUUGCUUUGUACACUGUAGAUAUCCCCAGCAGGCAUUCACGUGCCCAGCCCUUUAAACAUGCAGCUGCUCUUAUCUGCAGAAGGAAACCAAAAACAAACACGCAGCCCUUGGCCUCCCCUCCCUCCCCACACAUCUCAGGGUGACGUACGUACUUUGGUUUCUAGUGCAGUCUAUCACGGCACUCCCAUACCUGGCACUGGGCCCCCAUGAUACUUUGCAGCUGAGGGGUGGGGAGAGAGAACUAACCGUCAAUGUUACAAAGUAGCCCCGUAUAAUCCUAGUUAAUAUGCAAAUCAACUAUGGUUGUUGUUGUUUGUAGUAUUUCUAGGUCCACGUGUUCUGCCUUAUCUGGUAGAAAUAAAGAUUUAUCUCACAUUUGAUUAGUUUUUGUUUAGUCUGGAUUUGUUUUCAUGAUUGGAUAAGAAAGUCAGGCCAGAGUUCAAUUAUAGCAAGACACAACACGUUGUGUGUUAUAUUCAGAUAUGAGUAAAAUUGGCAAGCGUGGCCUAGACAGUUCCUACCUUUUACAAACAUUCACUACACUAUCUGAAUAUUUGGGGAUCGCAUUGCCAUUUAUGGAUAAAAAGUAACAUAUUUUCAACAUUAAAACCAUCCAUCAGUCUACAAAGAUAACACUGUACCCCCCAACUUUCCUCUGUAAUUGUGAGGAAUUUGGCUACUUUCGGCAGCAUUCAAGCAACAUGAAUCAGACUCAGCUUGUCAAGCAGAGAUUAAUCAGUGCUGUGCAAUCUGAAGAUCCGUGUCACUGGUGGUGGUGGGGGAGUUAAAAGUAGAGGAAGGUAUGGGGGGUGGACACCUACUAUUCAUCACUUCCUAGUGUGUAUAUGUGUGUGUUCAAGUGAGAACGAAAGAGAAGGAGGACACUAUAGCUACUAAGGAAUCUUUUGGUGUCUCUGAGAGGCUUCAUGCUCAGAAGAGGCUGAUUUGUAGACAGGAGAGAGAGGAGAGAUGCAAGGGUUGCUGGGGAAGACUGGAGAGGAAAAUCAUGCACACACAAAUGCAUACAAACACAUAUAUCAUAUAUGUACACAAACAGAAAAGAAUGCGAUUGUGCACCCGCUGCACAUGCUCUGAGUUGAGAGGAUUACAACAAAACUGUAAGCAAGAAGAGACUGAAGUCCUUCCUAAGAAUGCAUUCAUUUAAAACUUUCUCUCCACAACCACUUAAUCCACAUUAUCUAUAGCCGACAUGUCACCACAAAUUCUCCUCUGUUGCUGAGAAAAAAUAGCUAUUGCUUUCUAAACACCUUUACUGUCUACUUAGAGUCAGUCUGGAUUUACCUGACUUAUGCCUCAGAAUGCUUUGAAAACUUUCAUGAGUAUUUACACAUAUUAAAGAAAGAAACCCUGGUGACGACUGGCUGUACAGCUUCUGACUUGUAACUUCGAGCCAUGAGACGUACAAUUUGUUCCUUUGCUUUCCGUAAACUGUCUGUGCAGGACUAAAAUAUUUUGUCAACACGGUUAAUGUAUUCUCAAGCUCUCAAAGGAAGCUCUUUUUUUCCUGUCUGUCUAAAUGUGUGAGGAUGGGAUUGUUGGCAAGCGCAGCUCACACUCAUAUGGAUCAGUGGGACAGGAAGUCAAAACAUGCAUAGAUAAAGCCAUCUCUGUAGCAUUUACUGGCAGCAGCGCAGGGCAGUAAUCAUGAAUGAGCACUACUAUGUGAGUUUUGUGCCCUUGAGAAGUGCUAGGAUGAGGUCGUCUCCAGAGAAAAAAGUGAGGAGUGUGUGGAGCUGCAAAGUAAGAAGUUGUAGAAGAAGUAAGAGAUACUCUGCUGUCUUCUAAACUUAUUUCGUGAUCAUUAGACUCAAGAAUGUAAUGACUUCUAAGGAGAAGUUUUGUCAGUUGUUUACAAUGCAGUGGAACGUUGAGAUUAUCGGGCCUCUCUUGUCUAAGUGAACCUGUUUGGACAUCACCAGGAAAUGUCUCCACAGCUGGAGCACCCCCGACUGACUCAGGACUCUGGAAUUUCAACCAUCCCACUAAUAAGGCUGCCUGGGUGCCUCACGUGCAGGCCUGAACACACUCUUCCCCAUUUCACUUUCUCUAACGGGCACCUACAUUACUGCUUUAAAUAAAAAAAGUAAAGUAAAUAAAAAGCGUGAGCGUCAGCCAUUAUAUUCCUAUUUCUGCUAUUUUAUCUAUGAAGUUUUUAAAAAGUUUUUUUUUAAACAGACUGAGAGAAGAUCAUGAAUCAAAUGACUCAGAUUAUCCAUCAUUUUAGCCCCCUAAAGUAAGACUAUGUAACUUUUGCUGAAGAGCAGCCACUGUGGCCACUAGUGACAAUUCAGGGAUAAUUGUAAUUAUCAAGACAUAGUGUAACAGUAGCACAAGUAGAGAAGACUCAUAAAGUCAGCAAACUGACUUCUAACUAGCUAAAGUUUGCUAACAUCAGCUAUUAGCCACCAUAAGCUCUAUUAGCACCAUAAAACCAAGUUAGGCGGCAGCAGCAAAGCCUUUGAGUGUACUGAACUAAGCAGAUACUGUUUGUGAAUUCACUUCACACUUCAUUUCUAAGAAAAAUAGAAGCUAUGUAAGAAAAAAAAAUCUUCCUUCAAAAGUUACAUAGUCUCACUUAAAGAUGAGGAGAACUACAUUUGACAAAAGGCAGUUUAAGAGCUGUGAAUACUCCUGCUAGAACAAGUAUCAUCGGUGCUGUUGACCGUGGUAACAUAGCCUGUUGGGGUGUGUUCACCUCUAUGCAAAGGAAACUGUUCUUAUUUACAUGCGUUUACAUGACAGUUAUGCUAGUUAUUUGCAUUGAUAAGUGUAAAAACAUGUCCCAUUAACAGUUUAACCUCUGCGUCUAUUUAAUUUACAUUUCAGUUUUCCCUGAGAGUGUUGCUUCUCACGGCUCCCAUGUUUGCACUGCUUAACACAUUAACCUCAAGGCUCUUUGUGAUGAUGGAAUUGACAGACCUUGAUCUGCAUGUGAGGUGAAAAUCCAUAUCUACUUUAUAUCUUGCGUCAGAACAAAAAAAUGUGUGUCUCCACUCAGCCUCCCCCAAUGUCCUCACAGAAGUUUGUGCAAUGAUCUGGGGAAUGUACCACACACCUGUCAACCAACAGCACCGCACAGAGAGGCUCUAAUGAAGCCAGACUUGGUGGUUAUGAUAGAGAUUCCUCCAUCCAACAUGCUCUAUUUUGGUGUGUUGACCAUUACCAGGAAAGUAGAUUUAUUGUUGUUAUUGGUGGAUCAGGAUUCAGGAAAUCAUUUUCAAAGUGACUUUCAAGAGGUUAAGUCAAGUCUUUGUGAAGACUGUUUAUAAUUUUCAAUCCCCAUAGGAAUCAGUUUGUAAUCCUAUUGUUUUUACACUGACUAUAGUGGAUCAGCCACAAUAAUAUUAUUCCGUAUGUCCUGGGAUUACAUUUCAAGAUGGAAUUUCAAGUGUAAUCUAUUUCCAAUUACCUAGCCUAAAUGGCUGUGCUGAAUACACACUAAUUUUAACAAAUUUAAUUGGGGACUGAAAGAUAACAAAGUUGUUAUUGGUAAACAUAUUAAAAAAUAAAAAAUUAAAGAAGACAUUUUCUUUAAUGGCUUCAAACAUAUUGUUACAAUAUUUAUUGUCUUCCCAGUACUUUAAUCAGUUCCCUAACAACAUCAAAUUAAUUGCAUUGUGUAUUGUUGUGUUGUUGUGUGAGACAUGCAAGCUUAUGAAACUAACACAAACUGUCAGGUAUCAUCCAGGGCUAUUUACAAGGGCUUCAUCAUUUGUCACAUGCUAAAAAAUUUCAUGACACAAAUAAAUAGAGAGAGGGAGUUGGAGGCUGUUAACUUGCUGUGGAAUCCAGUUUGGGCAGAGGAUGCAUCUGAAAUAAUGGCUGAAUUAAUCACUCUGUGUGGGUGACUGGUGAUGCAAAUUCUUAUGCUCUUGGCAAUAAAUACUGACACAUUUAAGAACUGGAGCUCUUAUGUUAUUAUGUUUAUUAUAUGGUGCUUAAUUCCUAUGGGUUCCCAAAGAUUACUGCCUGUAUUUCCCAUUUGAAGCAUACUACAACAUUCACUGCAUUUAGUUUUUAUGUUUUGAGAACAUUUUUUUAUAAACUCACACUGUUUUAUAUCAAUUCAGAUAAUGAUUUUUACCUUUUCCUCUCUGGCAUGUAAUGAACUGUGAAUUAGAGGGCAUUCAUUUGACUUUCUACAUGACUGCUUCAGUAUAUUUGUAUAUGUUCACUAACAUUGGGCAGCAGACAGUGAAAAUCCUGCCAAUGUAAUAUCCAUUUGGGUACUUUUUACACAGACAAAAUCAAUUUACUGUGUUGUGGAAACACACAGGGUACAGGUAACGCAUUAUAUUCAAUCUGUUUAAAUGUAGGCCAUAUUUUCACUGCAACCACACACUACAUCAGAUGGACUACGCUGUUCCUCCUUUUCUGGCUAAAAGUAUAGCAUGCACACAUGGACUGAGCCCAGCACACAGUGGUGUCUGAGUCAACUGCGUGGACCACGAUUUGUAGAAAAAAGCCCACUGAACAGCGGCGGUGGCAGUUUAUUGUCCAUGUGUACUCCCAGGUACUUGUAAUCCUCUACAAUGUCCACACUGACCCCCUGGACGGAAACCGGGGUCACUGGUGCCUUGGCCCUUCGUAGGUCUCCAACCAGCUCCUCAGACUUUGCCGCAUUGAGCUGCAGAUGGUUCUGCUCACACCAUGAGACAAAGUUACCCAUGAUACAUCCCACCACAGAGUCAUCAGAAAACUUCUGAAGGUGGCAGGACUCUGUGUGGUAGCUGAAGUCUGUGG